CCCGGAUAUAAAGUCUUAGUGGUGGAAGUAAUUGUGUACUAGGGUGUUCGUGUAGAAUGGAUUGCAGGGGUUAAUUUAGUGGUUGCUGGGACUAGCAACAGGUAACCAGGGGUCUGGUGUCAUCAACCCAUUUACUUCCACUCUCCCCACUGUCUUGGCUGGCCCAAUAGCCCACAUUCGUGACAAGGGGCAUUAUUUUGUAAAUCUGAGAAAAUAACCUCUGGUGAUUAGGUUUUUCACCUAGACAUCUUGUACCGACUGAGUCCAGAUUUUGGAGAAAUAAGUCAG